rnacentral:snRNA from 13 species
UAAAAGGGCCUUUGCAGUCACUUGCACGUGGGCCUGUCACGGGCCUGCGCGGAAUCGCCAUCAAGAGAUUUCGGAGGCAUAAUCUUUGGACUCUUUGGCAGUUGGCGCCACUGUUCGCCGACGCCCUA